UCGCGUUCGGCGCCAUUAGUAAAGUUUUCGACGCGUUUCUGCGGGGUUUCAACGGGACGAUCGACACCUUUUUCUAAUAUUUUUAAAGAUGGAUGGAGGAGUAUGACAAGUUCACCAACAUUUCUAACUCUGUGGAUACUCAUGGUAGUCGCCGGCUCUUCGGUUGAGGAUCUUUUAAUGAUCAAAGUGCGAACAAAAAGCGAAAAAAGCCCGAAAACUUGAAGUUUGAGAUUUGAUUUACUGAAGAUCGAAAUGUGCACGUGAGACAACAAACCCUGAAGAAUAUUACCCAUUCAUCUGCUUUAUUUUAAAGCUAUCUUACACGCUAUGUAGGAUGUUUCAAACAAUUCUGCUCCAGACGCUAUCUCUGAAAAAUUUGUCAAGACCAGCGGAAUUCUUUAUUCAGCUUUGGCGCGAAAGCGUGGAGUUGUCUCCCAUCUCAAGCAUAUAACCUACCAAAACUGGCGUUCAAGAAAUCAAUUCGCAAAGCUUUAUUCGCAGCUCUAGAAGGCGAGCAGGACUAUAUUGAAGCACCUAAUUUACCAUCCAAAAUUAAUUUAUAUUUGACAUAACUUUUUGUAACUAUUCAGUUAAUGUCUUCGCCUGUUUAGUUUAGUUUGUUUAGUUUAUUAAGUUACCUAUUACACCAAUCAAUUCCGUAACCAUGUUUAUCCCUGGAUAUUUUAUUGUAUGCCAUUUAGUUUAUCCCUGUUACCGUUCAUAGUCUGGUAUUUGAAGCUUACAAAUUGUUCAACCGUUCAUAGUCUGUUAUUUGACGCUUACAAAUUUUUCUCCCUGCACAACUCGCCUCGACUAGCGUACGCAAUAUGCAAGUUUUAUAUGUUCUUCUUUUAAUUGUAAAAACACUAAUAAAGUUUGUUUGAUGUU